rnacentral:rRNA from 1 species
UACGAACGCUGGCGGCGUGCUUAACACAUGCAAGUCGAACGGAAAGGCCCUGCUUUUGUGGGGUGCUCGAGUGGCGAACGGGUGAGUAGCACGUGAGUAACCUGCCCUUGACUUUGGGAUAACUUCAGGAAACUGGGGCUAAUACCGGAUAGGAGCUCCUGCUGCAUGGUGGGGGUUGGAAAGUUUCGGCGGUUGGGGAUGGACUCGCGGCUUAUCAGCUUGUUGGUGGGGUAGUGGCUUACCAAGGCUUUGACGGGUAGCCGGCCUGAGAGGGUGACCGGCCACAUUGGGACUGAAAUACGGCCCGGCCUCCUACGGGAGGCAGCAGUGGGGAAUAUUGCACAAUGGGCGGAAGCCUGAUGCAGCAACGCCGCGUGCGGGAUGACGGCCUUCGGUUUGUAAACCGCUUUCGCCUGUGACGAAGCGUGAGUGACGGUAAUGGGUAAAGAAGCACCGGCUAACUACGUG